CCUACGGGAGGCAGCAGUGAGGAAUAUUGGUCAAUGGCCGUAAGGCUGAACCAGCCAAGUCGCGUGAAGGAAGAAGGAUCUAUGGUUUGUAAACUUCUUUUAUAGGGGAAUAAAGGUAUCCACGUGUGGAUAUUUGCAUGUACCCUAUGAAUAAGCAUCGGCUAACUCCGUGCCAGCAGCCGCGGUAAUACGGAGGAUGCGAGCGUUAUCCGGAUUUAGUGGGUUUAAAGGGUGCGUAGGUUGUUUUAUAAGUCAGCGGUGAAAGUUUGUGGCUCAACCAUAAAAUUGCCGUUGAAACUGGAAGACUUGAGUGUAGUUGAGGUAGGCGGAAUGCGUGGUGUAGCGGUGAAAUGCAUAGAUAUCACGCAGAACACCGAUUGCGAAGGCAGCUUACUAAGCCAUAACUGACACUGAAGCACGAAAGCGUGGGGAUCAAACAGGAUUAGAUACCCCUGUAGUC
rnacentral:rRNA from 1 species